rnacentral:sRNA from 1 species
AGUUAUAUUAUUUAUGUGUUUUGAAACUUGCCUAACUUAAUUGUAACAAACAAUUCUUUAUUCCAUAUAUUCUCUCGUCAUCUAGUACACAAUCACAUCAUGAUAUGCUAGUAAUUUAAGUCAACACUUUAAUUCUCAUCCCUACCAUAUAGUCAUAUAGAGUUUCAUGUUGUUGUUUUUUUGGUAUGUCUAAUGUCUUGGAUGACUAUUACGUAAAAUGUACAGAAAGAAGGUCAUAUGAUAAAUUAAAUUCACAAAACGUAAUAAUAAAAAAAUAUCCAACUAAAAUUACUAAAUUAAUAUGAGGUUAGGUAGCAAACAUCUAAACUACAACACAAGUAAAAUUUUAGCCAUUAUGGUUAAUGACUAUUGA